rnacentral:precursor_RNA from 15 species
AAGAAGGAACACCACCAUUCCAGCUGCCUCACAUGGACAAUAUGCUUCAAUUUGUAAAUUUGAUGCAAAGAAGUGUAUGGUCCAUAGAGGCUGCUGGUAACGUGCUCUGCAGCUAAAC